rnacentral:rRNA from 1 species
AGUGAACGCUGGCGGCGUGCUUAACACAUGCAAGUCGAACGAGAACGGCUUAUAGCUUGCUAUAAUUGUCAGCUAAGUGGCGCACGGGUGAGUAAUGUAUAGGUAAUAUGCCUCUUACUAAGGGAUAACAAAUGGAAACGUUUGCUAAUACCUUAUACUCCUUAUUAACAGAAGUUAAUAAGGGAAAGAUUUAUUGGUAAGAGAUUGGCCUGUAUUGUAUCAGUUAGUUGGUGGGGUAAUGGCUUACCAAGACUAUGACACAUAACUGGUUUGAGAGGAUGAUCAGUCACACUGGAACUGAGACACGGUCCAGACGCCUACGGGAGGCAGCAGUGGGGAAUAUUGCACAAUGGACGAAAGUCUGAUGCAGCAACGCCGCGUGGAGGAUGACACAUUUCGGUGCGUAAACUCCUUUUAUAUGAGAAGAUAAUGACGGUAUUAUAUGAAUAAGCGCCGGCUAACUCCGUGCCAGCAGCCGCCGUAA